GGUUUAUGCAUCUAUUAUUAGCAUUGAAGGAGGCGGAACUAUGUACCUAUUAGUCCCAAUGCAGGGGGUGGGGCCUAUGUACCUAUUAGUCCUAGUGCAGGGGGUGGGGCCUAUGUACCUAUUAAUUUUAUUGAAGAAGGCGUGGCUUGUGCACCUGUUAGUAGCAUUGAUUGAGGUGUGGCCUAUGUGCCAUUUAGUCCCUGUGAAAAAAGCGUGACCUGUGCUGUUAGUUUUAGUGAAGGAGGCAUGGCCCGUGCACCUGUUAGUAGCAUUGAAGGAGGUGUGACCUAUGUAUUUGUUAGUAGCAUCGAAGGAGGUGUGGCCUAGGAAUUUGUUAGUAGCAUCGAAGGAGGUGUGGCCUAGGAAUUUGUUAGUAGCAUCGAAGGAGGUGUGGCCUAGGAAUUUGUUAGUAGCAUUGAAGGAGGUGUGGCCUAUGUAUUUGUUAGUAACAUUGAAGGAGGCGUGGCCUGUGUACCUGUCAGUUUUAGUGAAGGAGGCGUGGUCUUUUUUUGUCCAAAGG
ensembl:lncRNA